AGCCCAGUAGUUUAGGGGUAGAACGUGGAGCUUCUAACUCCAAGGCCAGAGUUCGAUUCUCUGCUGGGCUA
rnacentral:tRNA from 1 species